rnacentral:misc_RNA from 1 species
CUUCGAAGUGAAGAAAGAUCUUGCUACUAUACCUCCUUCUUCAGUGUUACUCUAUGAAGUUGAAAUGUUAGAUUUUAUAAAGGAAAGACCACCAUGGGAGAUGAACAAUCAGAUGAAAAUUGAAACUGCUUGUAGAAAGAAAGAAGAAGGCAAUAUACUAUUUAAAAGUGGGAAAUAUCAAAGAGCGGCAAAGAAGUAUGAUAAGGCUGCAGACUAUGUUGUUGAAGAGGGAUCCUUUGGAGAUGAUGAGCAAAAGCUAGUUAAAUCAUUAAGGGCGUCUUGCUGGUUGAAUGGAGCGGCAUGUGGCCUCAAACUUGAUGAUUUCCAGGGAGCAAUUAGUUUAUGUUCAAAGGUACUGGAUAUUGAGUUCAACAAUGUAAAAGCUUUGUAUAGGCGAGCACAAGCAUAUAUGCAAACUGCAGAUUUGGUCUCAGCUGAGCUAGACAUUAAGAAGGCACUUGAAGUUGAUCCUCAGAACAGGGAGGUGAAAUCACUUCAAAC